UACGUAGGGGGGCUAGCGUUGGUCCGGAUUUAUUGGGCGUAAAGAGCGUGUAGGCGGCCAGGUAGGUCUGGUGUGAAAACUCGAGGCUUAACCUCGAGAUGUCAUCGGAAACCAUCUGGCUAGAAGUCCGGAAGAGGAGAGUGGAAUUCCUGGUGUAGCGGUGAAAUGCGCAGAUAUCAGGAAGAACACCAAUGGCGAAAGCAGCUCUCUGGGACGGUACUGACGCUGAGCACGCGAAAGCGUGGGGAGCGAACAGG
rnacentral:rRNA from 1 species